ensembl:lncRNA
UCAAGCUCAUUUUAUCAACUCCACUAAAAGGUCUGCAAAAUACCGAGGGCCAUGAUGAUCUGGAUGACACUGCCAAAUGGAGGCAAAGGUUUGGUUGGGCUUGGUGAAUAGGCAUAGCUGGAGGCAUAACAGCACCCAUGACACGAGACGAUGCUGGAGGAGAACCUUGAGAUGGAGGCAUCCAUGAGGAGGAUCCUUUUGAUGGAAAUAUCAAAGAGAAAAUACUAAUGUUAUAAUGUUUUAUCAUUGGAAUGUGAUACAAAGCGAGGCAGCGGUGUGCUUCAGGACCAUGCGGAUGCCUCUGAGCGGUCGGGUAGGCUGUUUGGAGUGCUUCUCCGACGGGGGUAAAAAAACACACACACAAAAGGAUAGAUCAACAAUGAGAUCUGGGAGUAGCCAUGGAGGAACAUACCCUAUCACCACAGACUGGCCAACCUCUAACUCCCUCAAACCACUUUCAUCAGCAAGCUUUCCAACUGUCCAACCAAAACCACUGCCUUGUCUACUAGUAUAUUCCCAACAGUCAUCUAGAACAGUAUUUAUUUGUCAUUUAACUAGGUAAGUCCAGUUAAGGACAAAUUCUUAUUUUACAAUGACAGCCUACCCCGGCCAAACCCUCCCCUAACCUGGAUGGCGCUGGACCAAUUGUGCGCCGCCGUAUGGUAGCAGUGGGAUGCUCAACCUCACAGCCUUUCAACCUACCAUUUUCUUUACGCUGUAUAUCCAAAGGCAUCUCACCAGGAUUGUCAACUCCAUAGGCAUCAGAUAAAAUGGAUCCUAUUUUAUCUCGAAAAGAGCGAAUAAAUAAGGAGGACAAAACCCAGUUAUAUAAUCUCCCACCAAUACCAAGUCUUUCCAUCUUAAUCAGUAGGCCUUCUCUCCACAUAGUGUCGUAGGCCUUUUCAAUGUCAAAGACAGUAGCCAUUACUAGGCUGUCAUUGUAAAUAAGAAUUUGUUCUUAACUGACUUGCCUAGUUAAAUAAAU